CGUGUAGGCGGUCUGUUAAGUCGGCUGUGAAAGCCCAUGGCUCAGCCAUGGAAGUGCAGUCGAUACUGGCGGGCUAGAGUCCCGGAGAGGGUGGUGGAAUUCCCAAUGUAGAGGUGAAAUUCGUAGAUAUUGGGAGGAACACCGGUGGCGAAGGCGACCACCUGGACGGGUACUGACGCUGAGACGCGAAAGCGUGGGGAGCAAACA
rnacentral:rRNA from 1 species